UACAGAGGUCUCAAGCGUUGUUCGGAUUCAUUGGGCGUAAAGGGUGCGUAGGCGGCGCGGUAAGUCGGGUGUGAAAUCUCGGAGCUUAACUCCGAAACUGCAUUCGAUACUGCCGUGCUUGAGGACUGGAGAGGAGACUGGAAUUUACGGUGUAGCGGUGAAAUGCGCAGAUAUCAGGAGGAACACCGAUGGCGAAGGCAGGUCUCUGGGCCAUAACUGACGCUGAGAAGCGAAAGCAUGGGAGCGAACAGG
rnacentral:rRNA from 1 species